rnacentral:rRNA from 1 species
AAACCCAAAAGAUCGAAUGGGGAGAUUCAUCGUCAGCGAUUCUGGUACGUGUGCGGUUCGUGAUGCUGGUGACUUCGGUCUCGUGGCACGCGUCCGUAUGGUUUUAUUGCUAGGUGUCGUCGGCGUGCACUUCUCCCCUAGUAGGACGUCGCGACCCGUUGGGUGUCGGUCUACGGCCCGGGUGGGCGCCUGUCAUGUGUCACGCUUUACGGCGUCGUGUGGCAGACCCCCGGUUGUCUGACCGGCUGCUCGGCGGUACUCGCACGGUAUCGGGCCGCAAAUAUUCGAACUGCGUCCGGCCCACCGCAAGCGAGGACAGUGUUUCCCGGAUGUGCGGACCUAGCGCCGUCACCGGGCCUGGCCAGCUGUUGGUCGGUGGUGUCCUGGGACUGGCUCUACAUUAAAUUAUGAUACCGGUCGGCGAC